CCUACGGGAGGCAGCAGUGAGGAAUAUUGGUCAAUGGCCGGAAGGCUGAACCAGCCAAGCCGCGUGAAGGACGAAGGUGCCAAGCAUUGUAAACUUCUUUUGUCAAGGGACAAAAUCAGGCUCGAGAGCCUGACCGAGGGUACUUGAAGAAAAAGCAUCGGCUAACUCGGUGCCAGCAGCCGCGGUAAUACGGAGGAUGCGAGCGUUAUCCGGAUUUAUUGGGUUGAAAGGGUGCGUAGGCGGACUGUUAAGUCAGCGGUAAAAGCCCGGGGCUCAAGCCCGGCGAGCCGUUGAAACUGGCUGUCGUGAGAUGUCGAGAGGUAUGCGGAAUGCGCAGUGUAGCGGUGAAAUGCUUAGAUAUUGCGCAGAACUCCGAGUGCGAAGGCAGCAUACCGGCGGCGAUCUGACGCUGAGGCACGAAAGCGGGGGUAUCGAACAGGAUUAGAUACCCUUGUAGUC
rnacentral:rRNA from 1 species